rnacentral:rRNA from 1 species
UGGGGAAUCUUCCGCAAUGGACGAAAGUCUGACGGAGCAACGCCGCGUGAGUGAUGACGGCCUUCGGGUUGUAAAGCUCUGUUAAUCGGGACGAAUGGUUCUUGUGCAAAUAGUUCGAGGAUUUGACGGUACCGGAAUAGAAAGCCACGGCUAACUACGUGCCAGCAGCCGCGGUAAUACGUAGGUGGCAAGCGUUGUCCGGAAUUAUUGGGCGUAAAGCGCGCGCAGGCGGAUUGGUCAGUCUGUCUUAAAAGUUCGGGGCUUAACCCCGUGAUGGGAUGGAAACUGCCAAUCUAGAGUAUCGGAGAGGAAAGUGGAAUUCCUAGUGUAGCGGUGAAAUGCGUAGAUAUUAGGAAGAACACCAGUGGCGAAGGCGACUUUCUGGACGAAAACUGACGCUGAGGCGCGAAAGCCAGGGGAGCGAACGGG